GAUGAACGCUGGCGGCGUGCUUAACACAUGCAAGUCGAACGGGAUCCCUGGCAGCUUGCUGCCGGGGUGAGAGUGGCGAACGGGUGAGUAAUGCGUGACCGACCUGCCCCAUGCACCGGAAUAGCUCCUGGAAACGGGUGGUAAUGCCGGAUGUUCCACAUGAGCGCAUGCGAGUGUGGGAAAGGCUUUUUGCGGCAUGGGAUGGGGUCGCGUCCUAUCAGCUUGUUGGUGGGGUAACGGCCUACCAAGGCGUUGACGGGUAGCCGGCCUGAGAGGGCGACCGGCCACAUUGGGACUGAGAUACGGCCCAGACUCCUACGGGAGGCAGCAGUGGGGAAUAUUGCACAAUGGGCGCAAGCCUGAUGCAGCGACGCCGCGUGCGGGAUGGAGGCCUUCGGGUUGUAAACCGCUUUUGUUCAAGGGCAAGGCACGGUCUUUGGCCGUGUUGAGUGGAUUGUUCGAAUAAGCACCGGCUAACUACGUGCCAGCAGCCGCGGUAAUACGUAGGGUGCAAGCGUUAUCCGGAUUUAUUGGGCGUAAAGGGCUCGUAGGCGGUUCGUCGCGUCCGGUGUGAAAGUCCAUCGCUUAACGGUGGAUCCGCGCCGGGUACCGGGCGG
rnacentral:rRNA from 1 species